rnacentral:lncRNA from 1 species
AGUGUUUGUAAAAGGUACUAUGUGAUGACAUUGUGUAACUGAAAGCCUCUUUUUAUUGACAGGUCAUGAAAACUCAAGGCUGGAGAAAUUUCUCUGUGUCGGACUGCAGAGUUACACUCCCCACAGCCUGAAGGAAUGAACUUCCAGGAGGAAAAAUGGUCCACAUCAGUUUGGGAUCCUCUGGAUUUCUUGACAUGUUCAAAAUAGGACAGCAGAAACAACUAUACCUCCCUAAGAAAAGGGACACACGUGACAUAUUUCCCCCCCUCAGUGAUGGCCCAGAUGAUAAUUAUGUCCAUGUCCCCCUGACCACAGUGAUGUGACUUUCCAACCUGCAGAUCUGGAGACUUUGACUGAAGAAUAAAGCCAUGUCCUGGAAAAGAGUGAUGGAAGGGAAACAAUAAGGGCUAUUCAGUAACUUAGGUUGGCAUUGAUGAGUCUGCAGGGGAUCCUGGAUAAAUUAUGGAAUUGUAGCAUGGUUUGGGUUUGAAAGGACCUGAAACAUCAUUUCAUCCCAACCCCCUGUCAUGGGCAGGGACACCUUCCACUGUCCCAGGCUGCUCAGAGCCCCAUCCCACCUGGCCUUGGACACUGCCAGGGAUGGGGCAGCCACAGCUUCUCAACGCAGUCUGAGCCAGUGCCUCACCACCCUCACAGCAAAGAAUUUCCUCCUGAUAUCUAAAUCCCACAAGCCUCUCAUGAGACAGUUCUUCCUUCCGCGUGAUUUCAGCACUUGGUCUACAAAAUCUAUGGAUCUGUCUAUCCCAAGUGUCUAUCCCAGAAAUUGCCACUCUCUUCUGGGUUUCAGACUAACUUGAGAGGAUUUAAGCAUAGUGUUAGUAAUGCCACUGCUGUGGAAAAGCCAUAACCAUGAAGGAAAACAGAAACAGG